UACAGAGGGUGCGAGCGUUGUUCGGAAUUAUUGGGCGUAAAGCGCUUGUAGGCGGCUUGUUAAGUUCCGUGUGAAAUCCCCAGGCUUAACCUGGGAAGUGCGCGGAAAACUGGCGAGCUUGAGUGCCGGAGAGGGUCGCGGAAUUCCCGGUGUAGAGGUGAAAUUCGUAGAUAUCGGGAGGAACACCAGUGGCGAAGGCGGCGACCUGGACGGA
rnacentral:rRNA from 1 species